UACGUAGGGUGCGAGCGUUGUCCGGAAUUAUUGGGCGUAAAGAGCUCGUAGGCGGUGUGUCACGUCGGCCGUGAAAACCUGCAGCUUAACUGUGGGCGUGCGGUCGAUACGGGCAUCACUGGAGUUCGGCAGGGGAGACUGGAAUUCCUGGUGUAGCGGUGAAAUGCGCAGAUAUCAGGAGGAACACCUAUGGCGAAGGCAGCUCUCUGGUACGUGACUGACGCUGAGACGCGAAAGCGUGGGGAGCGAACAGG
rnacentral:rRNA from 1 species